rnacentral:rRNA from 1 species
UACGAGGGGGGCGAGCGUCGUCCGAAUUUAUUGGGCGUAAAGCGCGUGUAGGCGGGACGGUCAAGCCUGGGGUCGAAAGGUUGGGGCUCAACCCCAGUACAGUGCCCUGGGGACUGGUCGUCUGGAGGCAGGCAGAGGAGUGUGGAAUUCCUGGUGUAGCGGUGGAAUGCGUAGAGAUCAGGAAGAACACCCGUGGCGAAGGCGGCUCUCUGGGACGGUACUGACGCUGAGACGCGAAAGCGUGGGGAGCGAACAGG